AUUGAACGCUGGCGGCAGGCUUAACACAUGCAAGUCGAGCGAGCGGCGGACGGGUGAGUAAUGUCUGGGAAACUGCCUGAUGGAGGGGGAUAACUACUGGAAACGGUCGCUAAUACCGCAUACCAUCGGAUGUGCCCAGAUGGGAUUAGCUAGUAGGUGGGGUAAUGGCUCACCUAGGCGACGAUCCCUCGCUGGUCUGAGCGGAUGACCAACCACACUGGAACUGAGAAACGGUCCAGACUCCUACGGGAAGCAGCGGUGGAGAAUAUUGAACAAUGGGCGAAAGCCUGAGGCAGCCAUGCCGCGUGUGUGAAGAAGGCCUUAGGGUUGUAAAGCACUUUCAGCGAGGAGGCGUUACUCGCAGAAGAAGCACCGGCUAACUCCGUGCCAGCAGCCGCGGUAAUUC
rnacentral:rRNA from 1 species